GAUGAACGCUGGCGGCGUGCCUAAUACAUGCAAGUCGAGCGAACAGACGAGGAGCUUGCUCCUCUGACGUUAGCGGCGGACGGGUGAGUAACACGUGGAUAACCUACCUAUAAGACUGGGAUAACUUCGGGAAACCGGAGCUAAUACCGGAUAAUAUAUUGAACCGCAUGGUUCAAUAGUGAAAGACGGUUUUGCUGUCACUUAUAGAUGGAUCCGCGCCGCAUUAGCUAGUUGGUAAGGUAACGGCUUACCAAGGCAACGAUGCGUAGCCGACCUGAGAGGGGGAUCGGCCACACUGGAACGGAGACACGGUCCAGACUACUACGGGAGGCAGCAGUAGGGAAUCUUACGCAAUGGGCGAAAGCCUGACGGAGCAACGCCGCGUGAGUGAUGAAGGUCUUCGGAUCGUAAAACUCUGUUAUUAGGGAAGAACAAAUGUGUAAGUAACUAUGCACGUCUUGACGGUACCUAAUCAGAAAGCCACGGCUAACUACGUG
rnacentral:rRNA from 1 species